rnacentral:rRNA from 1 species
AUGAACGCUGGCGGCGUGCCUAAUACAUGCAAGUCGAGCGAACAGACGAGAGUGCUUGCACUCUCUGACGUUAGCGGCGGACGGGUGAGUAACACGUGGGUAACCUACCUAUAAGACUGGGAUAACUUCGGGAAACCGGAGCUAAUACCGGAUAAUAUUUAGCUUCGCAUGAAGCAAUAGUGAAAGACGGUUCUGCUGUCACUUAUAGAUGGACCCGCGGUGUAUUAGCUAGUUGGUGAGGUAACGGCUCACCAAGGCAACGAUACAUAGCCGACCUGAGAGGGUGAUCGGCCACACUGGGACUGAGACACGGCCCAGACUCCUACGGGAGGCAGCAGUAGGGAAUCUUCCGCAAUGGACGAAAGUCUGACGGAGCAAUGCCGCGUGAGUGAAGAAGGUGUUCGGAUCGUAAAACUCUGUUGUAAGGGAAGAACAAGUACGUUAGUAACUGAACGUACCUUGACGGUACCUUACCAGAAAGCCACGGCUAACUACGUG